rnacentral:tRNA from 4 species
GUCCUCGUAGCUCAGUUGGAUAGAGCGAUCGCCUCCUAAGCGGUAGGUCACCAGUUCGAUUCUGGUCGAGGACACCA